rnacentral:rRNA from 1 species
CCUACGGGAGGCAGCAGUGGGGAAUCUUGCGCAAUGCUCGUAAGAGUGACGCAGCGACGCCGCGUGAAUGACGAAGGCCUUCGGGUCGUAAAGUUCUUUCGACAGGGAAGAAAAUGCCUAUAAGUAACUGUGUAUGUAUUGACGGUACCUGUAUAAGCAGCCCCGGCUAACUCCGUGCCAGCAGCCGCGGUAAUACGGAGGGGGCGUGCGUUGUUCGGAGGGACUGGGCGUAAGGGGCACGGGGGCGGUGUUGUAAGUCAUUAGUCAAAGAGGAGAGCUCAACUUUAGUAAGGCUAGUGAUACUAUAAUACUAGAGUAUCAGAGAGGAAUGCAGAAUUCCUGGUGUAGCGGUGAAAUGCGUAGAUAUCAGGAGGAAUACCGUUAGCGAAGGCGGCAAUCUGGCUGGAAACUGACGCUGAGGUGCGAAAGCGUGGGUAGCAAACAGGAUUAGAUACCCUGGUAGUC